rnacentral:lncRNA from 1 species
CUACCUCCACCAUACAGCCUAAGUUUGACCCCAACGAGAUUAAAGUCUGAGAUGCACCGGGAAUGAUGUUGGUGCCACAUCUGUGCUGGCCCCUAAGAUCAAACCCCUGUGUCUGUCUCCAAAACACAUUGGUAAUGACAUCGUUAGGGCAACCGGUGAUUUGAAGGAUCUGAGGAUUACAGUGAAACCAUUCAGAACAGGCAGGCAUAGAUUGAGGUAGUACCUUCUGCCUCUGCCCUGAUCAUCAAAGCCCUCAAGGAACCUCCAGGAGACAGAAAGAAACAGAAAAACAUUAAACCCAAUGAAAAUAUCAUUUGAUGAGAAUGUCAACAUUGCCUGACAGAUGCAGCUCCAAUCUUUAGUUAGGGAACUCUCUGGAACAAUUAAAAAGAUCCCGGGGACUGCACCAUCUGUGGGCUGCAAUGUUGAUGGUCACCACCCUCAUGACAUCAACAGUGGUGCAGUGGAAUGCUCAGCUUGUUAAGCA